rnacentral:lncRNA from 1 species
UGAUAAAUGCAUCGAUGCCUUCGAUUAUUGAACGCUUGGAAAUAGGAGGUGCAGGUGGGACUGGCAAUUCCUUUUACUCCACACCCUCAAUGGAAAUGAACAACUUCUUUUAUGGCAUCGAAGAUGGACAUGUCCUCCAUGCAUCAUGAUGGGGGUGAAAUACUAAACUAUGCAUGUUUCUGAUGUAGAAAAUUCAAGGUUAGUAAUUUUGCCGGGGAUACAUGAAAAAAAGAGAGUCAAAAUUACGUAUUCAAAAUCACUCGUUAAACCAUGGGAGUAACAAGUAUUCAAAAUUUGAAAAUUACUAUGCAUAUAUAGGAGAAAAAGGAGAAUGUAUAAUGAAAGAGGUGCUUGAAACAGAUCUAUAAAAGGACAGAACAAAUAUGAGGAAAUGGUGAGAAAUGGUUACAAGAUUACUUAUAAUGGCACAUACCACCAAAGACUACAACACACAGAGAAUAUCCCAGUUUCACAAAUCGAGCUUUAACCAGUUAUUUGGAUAUUCCUCCAGCCUAAGGGGACAAAAUAUAUCCAAUAACAAUAUAAAAUAGUACAUGUACAGCAAGAAACCAAGCUUCCUACAGCAGAGCUGAAAACAUGCACGCAAUGGUUGAACAGCAAGACCUCCACUCCUGGCAUGACAUACUGUUCUUUUCAUCCGGUAUGGAAUUGUCCCAAAUAUGAGCCAAUACUACUAGCGUAAAUCUCAUCGCUACCAACUGCAAAAAAUUAUAUUAAUUUAACAAUAGAGGUAACUGAGAAACCAUCUUGUUUUUUUUUGAGAAAAGCUAAACUGCCUGAGAAACCAUCUUGUUUAACAAAACAAACAACAAAUAUCUAUAAUGCAACCAGCAAAGGCAAACAAACAAUAUACAAAGUUGCAUUUUCCAUAUUCAAUGGCUAUUUAUACUUUUGUGGUCCCUAUUCAAAAUAAUGACUAAUCCCAACGUUUCAUACUACCAAAUGUUCCAUUGGCAGGUUGCCAUCCGAUUAUGGGCAUGAAUCAAAUCCCAAGUCAACUAAAUUAUUUGUGUCUUGUGAUGCAAUUCAUAUCAUCUAUGAAUCUCUCUCUCUCUCUCUCUCUCUCUCUCUCUCUCUUUCUCUCUAUCUAUCUCUCUCUCACAAACACACACACAAGAAGAGGGAGAAAUAUGAACAGCUAAACAAAUUUGACCAAAUUCACGAUGAAAUGAAACCAAAUAGAUGGAUCUAGUAGUAAAGAGUUUUGAAUCUUCUGAUGAAUCCUCCAGGCAUAAAACCCAAAUGAAAUAUAUCCACAUGCAUCAUAAUUCUCCACUGUAGUCUAACAAAGCUAUUAUUCAUUUAAUAAAUCUAUCAGUCACAAGCUUUUUCAGAAUGCUCCAGCCAAGAUAGGGUCUACCCCAUGAUUUGGUGAGGUAAAGAAUAUGGUAACAAGAGAGAUCAUCUAAUGUCCUUGGAUCUUUUUGCGAUAUCUCUUACUCAUAUCUUUUGCACUCAGUCAUUAGUAGAGACUUCUAAAGAAAACUGAUCAACAAGAAACAAAUCUUACGAAGCCUGUUUCAAGUAUAUGUGAAAUGACAUCAAAGGACAUAAUAUAUUAGUAUAGCUAGUUUUAGUUGUUCUAGAAUCAAGAAGUAGAAGUAUUCAAGUAAACCUUCAAUAGCGUGAUACCAAGCAUGAAUUUAUCAUGAUGGAGCACCCCUCGUCUGAUUACGAAUUGUUUCAUGGAUUUCAUUACCAUCUGAAGCACGGUGAGCCUGUGGGUGCGGAUGUGAUCAAAUAAUAUAAAUGUUUGUUUGUCCAUUUGCACGUGUGUGAAAGAGGGAAUAAAAGAAUUAGGAUUUUUUAUUGACAUGGCAGGCCAGUCUCACACGCUUUGAUGUGUCCAUAUACCACAAUGCACUUCCAAUGGAGGAAAUCUGUGGUUCUAGCUAGGGUCACUAUGACAGAGAACUUGCCAAUGUGAGAGGCAACUAAGGCAUGUGUACCAGAGGACCCAGAUACCGCCAGAAGGUCCUAUUGCAUCCAAAGGUAACCACUGGCAGGAAAACCCCAAAUAUUCCAAAUUUGGAAGAGAGAGGGAGAAGGAAGCUUGGUUUCCACCAAACCAAGAAGAGAUGGAGAAUACUGUUAAACAAAUUGACAAACAUUUUGCCGUUUUCCUGGGUGGCCCAAACCCCUGAUAUUCCAAAUAAGGAUCUUCAUAGCACAGGUAAGGGGCAGAUGGCACUCUUGGUCGAGCGACGAGAAUGCUGAGGAGCUGAGGGAAUGGGGAGGACCUUAGCUGAGGGUUCUCUUUUCUCGUACCUUACUUUGAAACAACUUGGAUAGCUCUAAGGAAAGUGAGUGGGGAGGAGGUGAACAAGGAAUCGAGUUUCAUAGUGUCUAUGAGGUCGGUUCAAGUACGGCUAGUUUGAGAGCAGGUUGACUGAAACAAAUAAUUGAUUCAAUUCUCGCUUCGUUGUCAGGGGCAAGUGAGGGAGGGAGCGCGGCAAGUUCAGGCCUCCCUUCCCUUGAAAGGAGGCUGAACGACGCCCACAGGUAUUUGAAUUUAGUGAGAGACCAUCCAGUACCUUCGCUGAGGCUCAACCGACGUGCCUCUUGAUCUGCCACAAAGUUGCAUGUAGCCCCGGUGUCUAUCAUAGCCUUCGUAGGUUUUCCAUUGAUAGACACUUCCACAUACAUAAGCUCUCAUGCUAGGGGCUUGACUUCCUUCACUUGCCCCUUCAAUGCAUUGAGUAGCCUUAGAGUCCUCAUGAGUUUUUUCAGUCUAGCGACUAUGACGGUUUUUUCAGUCUAGCGACUAUGACGGUUGGCAUAAAGAAAAAGGAAAUAAAGAAAAGGGAAAUGCUGGAAAUUGUGGCCUUGAUAAGGAUCACUCUGCACCUUGGUGAAAGGACUCUCCCUUACCAUGAAGCCAAGUGCCACUCGACUUUGUCUAUAACCAAGCUCCAUAACUGGAUUCGAGGAAGGCCAAUGCAAAAUGGAAGGCUAAGAUAGGAUGCGGGCAUUGGCUCUACAACACAUCCCCAUGAGUCCGUGAAGCAUUUGACUCUGGCUUGGUCAAGGUAGAUUCUUGUCAUCUUAGUUUUUUCUAGGUUCACCCUAAGGCUCAUAGCCAACUGGAAGUAUUGGAGGAAGAGCAACAAACAACUAACUUUUUUAAAAAAUGCAUCGCAAAAGAGGAGGGUAUCAUUGCCAUAUUGGUGGUAGAAUAUCGCGAGACCCAACCUAGCCACUUGGAAACUCGAAAUGCAUCCCACACUGUACACACGAGAUAGUGAGGCACUGAACACCUCAGCCACUAUGGUAAAUAUUAGGGUGAAAGGGGGUCCCCUUGGUGGAGCCCGCUCGAAGUAUGAAAGUAACCCUUAGAUGUGCCAUUAAUAAGGUCAAAAAAUUGGGGUUUUGAAAUACACCCUUGGAACCAUGUCCACCAUAGAGAGCCAAAUGGCAUUCUGGACAAAGUCUCAUCAAUAAUUUCCCAGUCCACAUGAUCAUAAGACUUUUGAUUACCAAGCCUAAGAUUUUUUGCCCUAUAGCGAGAAUGUAUGCAUUCGUGUGCUAUUAGAGCCCCAUCGAGAAUCUGUCAUUCCUUCACAAAGGUCCCUUGGGGUGAUACGAUCACCUAACCAAGGACACAUUUAAGGUGGGAAGCCAGGCCCUUAAGAGAAUUUUGUAGGAAGUAUUAAUCAAACUAAUGGGUCUGAAGUUUUAAGCUCUUCUACUCCCUCUUUCUUGGGGAUCUUGGCAAUGAAAGUGGCAUUCAUCACCUUAUGGAUAGUGGCUCAAGAGUGAAAUUCAGAAAAGAAAGCCAUGAUAUCAGUCUUAAGGAUAUCCCAAAAGACUUCGAAGAGGGCUAUGGGGAAGCUAUCAGGGCUGGGGGACCCGGUCUCCAUUGAGAUCUUUAAUGGCCUGGAGUACUUUGUCCUCUUAAAAAGGACUUUCCAAAUAGGCUGCAGAUUCGGGAGCAAUAGAAAAGAACGAGAAGAGAAAAGCUUGAAAAAGUAUUUGACAGCCGCUGCCUCAAUGAGAUUGGGAUGUCAACAAUCUGGUCUCACAACUUGAAGUGGGUAAUAGAGUUAUCCCUUCUUCAACAGUUGGCUAUCUUGUGGAAGUAAGCUAUAUUUUGGUUGCCAAGCUUGAGCCAUUUGACUUUGGUCCGUUGAGCCCAAUAAAUUUCUUAUUUCUUUAGGAGGCAUUGGUAAUCAUGUUUGUGGAUGUAUCGAGAAUCCAACUCAGACGGGGAGAGAGGUCUAAGUUCUUCAAUGAAGUCUCAGUGUUGAAUAGACCUCAAAAGGGAGUCUUUUGGGUAUCAUAAGUUUCCAGGGAGCUGUGAACUCCAUGAUUUCAGGAAAACUUUGAGCAUUUGAAGCUUUUUCUACAAGAUAAAAUAGGCCCACCCAUUCACGAGCGGGGAGAAGGACUCCCAAUGGUUACAGACAGGAGAGGGGAAGCCGGACUCUUAAAGCCAAGACAGCUCAAAGCGAAAAGGCUUAGGCCCUCGAGGAAGGGACUGGGUAUCCAGCAGGAUAGAUCUAUGAUUUGAGGAGAGAUUGGGAAGCACCAGAGAGUGGGUGCCAGGGAACUCAUGAUCCCACUCGAUAGGGGUUAGAAAUCUAUCUAAUUUUGAGAGGCUUGGAUUAGCCGAAUGACUAGACCAACUGAACUCUGCUCCUUCCAACAGGAUGUCUAGAAGACUGUUAUGAGCUAAGAAGUCAGAGAACUAUACCAUUGAAGGGGUAGUUUUGUCGUGGGAAUUACGUUCGUGAGACCAUUUGGUGAUUUUAAAAUCACCUCCUACGCACCACUAAGAAAAAGGGAGGGUCAUCAAAUAUUGUAACUCUCUCAAAAUGGCCAAUUUCUCGUUGUCUUCUUGUGGUCCAUAGACCACAAUGCAUUUUUAAUGGAGGAAAUCAAUGAUCCUAGCUAGGGUCACUAUGACAGAGAACUUGCCAAUGUGAGAGGCAACUAAGGCGUGUUGAGUGGGACCAUCCAGAGCUAACCACUGCUAGGGGAAAACCCCAAAUAUUUCGAAUUUAGGAGAGUGGGGGAAGGAAACUUGGUUUCCACCAAACUAAGAAGAAAGGGAGAAUACUGUGAAACAAAUUGACGAAUAUUUGUUGUUUUCCUAGGUGGUCCAAACCCUUAUAUUCCAAAUAAAGAUCUUCAUAGCAAAGGUAAGGGGCGAAUGGCACUCAUGGUCGAGCGGUGAGAAUGCUGAGGAGCUGAGGGAGGGGGGAGGACCUUAGCUGAGGGUUCCCCUUUCUCGUACCUUACUUUGAAAGAGAGUUGGAUAGCUCUCGGGAUGCUCUUAAAUUGGUGGCGGGAGCCUUACCUUUGACAUUAUUCGACUUAUACUGGCAUCUCGAUUCGCUAUCAGCAUUGAUGAAGGCUUCAAGGGCUUCAUGUGGGCCGUUGAACAGGAAGCCCAUCACUUAAAGGAUCUCAUGAGGAGUGCCUUGGACUUGGUCGAUUGCGUUCGCAAAGCUAGAGUCCACAAAGGCCGGUGAAGAAGAUUUUGAGGAAUAGGAAGAAGAGGGAUUGCCUCCCUACAACCACCAGAAUGGAAAUUCUUCUUUAUUAAAUGGGAUUGCAACCGCAUUAAAUGUAUCAAGGAGAAUGGUGAAGUGAGACAACAACAAACAAGUUCUUACCUUCUCAAGAAACUCUAGUUUACUUCUCCUUUCCUAUCUCGCAUCAAAUUCCGGCC